CUGUGUCUACCAAUGCUGGUUCGGAAAGUCUAGUCAAACCCAACUCUGGUGCUGGACAGAAAAAUACAGUAUAUAGACGUAGAAGGAUACAAAACGCAGGGGUCUUUUAUAUAUAAAAGAAAGAUGUUUAGUUGCGCUACAAAAGGGCGGAAAUUGAACAUUUAAGAGAAUAGUAUUUAGAUGCGUAACAAAAACACGGGUGUUUGUCGCAGAGACAUACAACUCAGUAUUGAUUAAAAGAAUUCUUAUAAUUAUGAAUGUAAAAGUUACGGUGACGUGACACUAGCGAUGCUGGUCUGAAAAGUCUACACUGAAAAAAAUUUGGGUGACAUGCUGUUCCGGCGAGUCCUAAAUGAAGUGUAGCUGCUGACCUCUUCAUUGGAUCGGCUGAGUUCUCGUUGUGGGAUCGCAGGUAACCCACAGCGAGAAGGCAUCGGGCUUAUUGAACUCGCGCGACAGCACACCUUUCAACCAGGGCGGGAGAAGUAUACGAAAUAAAAUAUGUUUGUCAGUGAAUGUGGUUAGACGUAAUAUUUUAUUGUUGUUUCAUUUUUAGAAAAUCUAUUUUUGCAUAUUGCAGAAUUUAAAACCUAUGACAAGAUUUUUUCACUGUUUUUACUUUCCCUUUAUUUAACCGUAUCGAAGACUUCUAAAACUGGAAAUAAAGUUACUAAAUA